UCGGGAUAGCUCAGCUGGUAGAGCAGAGGACUGAAAAUCCUCCGUGUC
rnacentral:tRNA from 4 species